rnacentral:rRNA from 1 species
CGAACGCUGGCGGCGUGCCUCAUACAUGCAAGUAGAACGCUGAAGGAGGAGCUUGCUUCUCUGGCUGAGUUGCGAACGGGUGAGUAACGCGUAGGUAACCUGCCUGGUAGCGGGGGAUAACUAUUGGAAACGAUAGCUAAUACCGCAUAAUAGCAGUUGUUGCAUGACAACUGUUUGAAAGGUGCAAUUGCACCACUACCAGAUGGUCCUGCGUUGUAUUAGCUAGUUGGUGGGGUAACGGCUCACCAAGGCGACGAUACAUAGCCGACCUGAGAGGGUGAUCGGCCACACUGGGACUGAGACACGGCCCAGACUCCUACGGGAGGCAGCAGUAGGGAAUCUUCGGCAAUGGACGGAAGUCUGACCGAGCAACGCCGCGUGAGUGAAGAAGGUUGUCGGAUCGUAAAGCUCUGUUGUAAGAGAAGAACGAGUGUCAGAGUGGAAAGUUCACACUGUGACGGUAUCUUACCAGAAAGGGACGGCUAACUACGUG